UACGUAGGGACCAAGCGUUGUUCGGAUUUACUGGGCGUAAAGGGCGCGUAGGCGGCGCGGUAAGUCACUUGUGAAAUCUCUGAGCUUAACUCAGAACGGCCAAGUGAUACUGCAGUGCUUGAGUGUGGUAGGGGAGACUGGAAUUCCUGGUGUAGCGGUGAAAUGCGCAGAUAUCAGGAGGAACACCGAUGGCGAAGGCAGGUCUCUGGGCCACUACUGACGCUGAGAAGCGAAAGCAUGGGGAGCGAACAGG
rnacentral:rRNA from 1 species